AUUUCCCCUGCUGUAUCAACAUGGAGUCUCCGGUCCUGGUCAACUCCUAUACUGAAAAGAAAGAAGAAAUCUUUGACACAGAAACUGGAUAUAAUACCAAAGAAAAAAGUAUCGACAGAUUCUUCUGUUGGGUCUAUAGACAAGGUCGAUUCCGAAGGCAGAAGUUUGCUUUUCUAUGCUGCUACUUUCGGAACAGUAGAAGUUGCUGAUCAGCUCCUUAAAUCAGGUUGUGAUCCGAAUGUACAGGAUGUGAACGGUGAUACUGCACUUCACGAGGCUGUAUUAAAUGGACAUCUAAAACUCAUUCGGCUAUUACUCAAAAAAGCUGUAAAUAUGGACGUAAACGUCAAGAAUGGACAAGGAGAGACACCUUUAAUGAUUGCUGUCCAUCAGGACCAGAUCGACGUGGUCAAACAUCUACACAAAACAGGAGCAAAUAUUCAUGACACUGACCACAUGGGCCGAAGUGCUUUACUGAUAGCAUCCGAACAAGGAUCGGAGAAAUGUUGUCAAUAUUUGAUGAAACAUGGUGUGGACAUUCAAAUGAGGGAUAACUUGGGUCAUUCAGUUUUAUUUUAUGCCUUACACAGCAGGACGCUAUCGGUUCAACUUAUUAAACAAAUUAUAAAAUCAGGAUAUGAUGUAAGCUUGGAUGCGGAUUGGGUAAUUAGUGAAAACCAUUCAGAAAACAGCUUGGGGAAAUUGGAUCCAAAACUGUGUCAGACCAUACUAGACAAAAUAGGAGUGCCUCAUUUUGAAAGAGACUGCUACUGUAGACGUCCUAGUAUCGGUAACGUCAUUCUGACACGAAUCUCUACGCUUCUCGUGGCACCAAACUAGUAAAGUCUAACGUCUACGUGAAGGAGCCACACAGCAAAAUCCGACUUUGUCUUUUUAACUCAAUCGGCAAAUGUUGCGUUUAACGGAAUAGAUCGAGGUGUUAUGGUUGGAUGUAUAAUCAAAAUUUAUACUUUGAAAGACAAGUAUUGAAAAGAACAGUGUAGUUCGACGAUUUCUAAUUUACACAAUACUUUGUGUGAACAUCGAAAUAGAAAACUUUAAUUCUAUGAGGAAAUUAUCGGAUUAUGAUAUGUAUAAAAUAAAGUAUAAAAACUUGUGAAGAUUGUAUAUAUUGUAUAUAUUGAUGUUAUAACUAGCAGUGAUGUCGACAACCAAACUGCAGUUAUUUGCAUAACCGCAUGGUAGGACAUCCGUAGGAUUGGUGCUUAUUAAAAUCACAUGAUAGGAUAUAUACAGGACCGAUGCUUGUAAGAAGAUGUAAAAAACACUGAUGUUAUUUGUGAUCCACGAAAUCCAGCUUGUUUAAGACAUUGAUUGGACUUAAUUUUUGAUAUUCCAUUGGUACAUGUAUCUUCUAUCUUUUUUAAAUCUAUAUGAAUAUGCUUAUAUGUAACAUAUAUAUAAUAAUUUCGUAACACUUUAUACAAUACAUAAUUAAAAAUGAAUCUUUGAUGUAUUAAUGGUCGCUAUACGAAGUAAAACCUGUUUUAACAUUGAAAUAUGGAUCGCACAAUGUAUAUACAUGUGUACAAUACAUAUGCACGUUGUCAGAAAAAAUAAAACUUAUUAGUAUGGGCUUUUGAAGCAGGACUUUUCUUCUGUAU